UUUGUUCUACAGAUGCUUGCAAGAUUUUUUCUUCUGAUCGGUGGUUGUCGUUUAUUUUUGCAGGUUCUAAAAAGAUAUGGUCGAUUGAGCUUCUCUACUUCGAAAUCAGCUUAGGCAGCAAACAGAAAAACUGACAAAGCUAUGGAUGGUCACCAGAAAGUACCAGGCCAGAACUCAACAAUGAGACCAUGCAAGUGAAGAUCUCGAACUAUGUUGCUUCAACGUCCUUUAUCACAUAGCUGGUAGUCAUGGUUGCUUCAACGUCCUUUAUCACAUAACUGGUAGUCAUAUUCAAGAGACCUUACAAUUCGGUAUUUCUUCAAUUAGGUUUCUUUGUUAUAAUUGUAAACAUAUUUUGCAUGUAAAGGGGAUAUUUUGACGAAGAAUAUGCAAAUAGAUCGAAAAAGGAAAAUAGGUAUUAUGCUGGCUAUUCCAAAUAAUUGAUAGUGUUUCAGCUGUUGGAGACAUCUAUAUUGUGACCAACACCAACAUACUGAAGGUUCAUGGAUCAAUCAACUAUAUACUGCAUUAUAAUG